rnacentral:rRNA from 1 species
CUCAGAUUGAACGCUGGCGGCAGGCUUAACACAUGCAAGUCGAGCGGGGAAGUAUAGCUUGCUAUACGACCUAGCGGCGGACGGGUGAGUAAUGCUUAGGAAUCUGCCUAUUAGUGGGGGACAACAUUCCGAAAGGAAUGCUAAUACCGCAUACGCCCUACGGGGGAAAGCAGGGGAUCUUCGGACCUUGCGCUAAUAGAUGAGCCUAAGUCAGAUUAGCUAGUUGGUGGGGUAAAGGCCUACCAAGGCGACGAUCUGUAGCGGGUCUGAG